AUAAGAAAGUAGGUCGUUUUGUAUUGCUUCAGUUUGCGUAAGGCGUGCGUCCUGUAACCGCCUGAAAAAAGUAGUUGCGUAAUUUGAAAGACCACAAUAUUCUGAAAAUGAACAACUUCAACGCAUUGUGUUAUUCGUUUUCUGAUUGUUUUCGUUUUGGUUUCAAGUGUAUCAGCCAUCAAAUGCUACACUUGCAUAGGAUGCAACGACCCUUUUGAUGAGAGUAAGGCUCAAACAGCUACCUGCGGAGGAUCCUGUCUGAAAACAAAGACGGGUGGAUAUGUAGUUAGACUUUGCUCACCUGUUAGCGGCGGAGACGAUUGUGGAAGCAAAGACGGAGCCGAAGCGUGUACGUGUACGAAAGAUUUGUGUAACAGUGCGUCAGGAAUGAGCUUUCCCCUGAUCGUCCUCUGUCUUUCCCUUUUCAUUAUGUUUCUGUGGGUGAAAUAAUGGAAACGAAAACGGACAUAUGCAUUAUUUUAGACUUUGUAGGUCAUUUCAAAUUUCCAGAUAGAAGUAUUGUACAAAAUGUUUAGGACGUUCAUUUCAAUUUUAUUUGUAAGUAGUUCAGUCUAUAUUCAAUUCUUAGUAUGAUUAUACUGUUACUUGUAUAAAUAUAUAUCCACUCUUCUGUAUUAAAAAUAUACCAGUGUCAUA
rnacentral:lncRNA from 1 species